rnacentral:snRNA from 14 species
GUGUGUGCUUCAGCUGCACAUAUACUAAAAUGAUUAGCAUGGCCCCAUGCAAGGAUGACACUCAAAUUCGUGAAAUAGUCCAUAUUUUA